GCCAAGGUCGCUAGAACGAAGUGGUGGAAGCUCAAGGGGGAGGUAGCUCAGGUGUUCAAGGAGAGGGUAUUUAAGGAGGGCCCUUGGGAGGAAGGAGGGGAUGCGGACAAUGUGUGGAUGAAGAUGGCGACUUGCAUUCGUAAGGUGGCCUCGGAGGAGUUUGGAGUGUCCAGGGGAAGGAGAAGCGAAGAUAAGGAUACCUGGUGGUGGAAUGAUGAUGUCCAGAAGGCGCUUAAAGAGAAGAAGGAUUGCUUCAGACGCCUAUACCUGGAUAGGAGUGCAGACAACAUAGAGAAGUACAAGAUGACGAAGAAGGCCGCAAAGCGAGCUGUUGGUGAAGCAAGGGGUCGGGCAUAUGAGGACCUCUACCAACGGUUAGGCACGAAGGAAGGUGAAAGGGACAUCUAUAAGAUGGCUAAGAUCCGGGAGAGGAAGACGAGGGAUAUUGGCCAAGUCAAAUGCAUCAAGGACGGAGCAGGCCAACUCUUGGUGAAGGACGAAGAGAUUAAGCAUAGAUGGCGGGAGUACUUCGACAAGCUGUUCAAUGGGGAGAAUGAGAGUUCUACCAUUGAACUGAAUGACUCCUUUGAUGAGACCAGCAUGCAUUUUGUGCGGCGCAUCCAGGAGUCUGAGGUGAAGGAGGCUUUAAAAAGGAUGAAAGGAGGCAAGGCGAUGGGCCCUGAUAGUAUCCCCAUUGAGGUGUGGAAAGGUCUCGGGGACAUAGCGAUAGUAUGGCUAACCAAGCUUUUCAACCUCAUUUUUCGGGCAAACAAGAUGCCAGAAGAAUGGAGAAGGAGUAUAUUAGUACCAAUCUUCAAGAACAAGGGGGAUGUUCAGAGUUGUACUAAUUACCAUGGAAUUAAGCUGAUGAGCCAUACAAUGAAGCUAUGGGAGAGAGUCAUUGAGCACCGCUUAAGAAGAAUGACAAGCGUGACCAAAAAUCCGUUUGGUUUCAUGCCUGGGAGGUCGACCAUGGAAGCCAUUUUCUUGGUACGACAACUUAUGGAGAGAUAUAGGGAGCAUAAGAAGGACUUGCAUAUGGUGUUCAUUGACUUG
rnacentral:rRNA from 1 species